CGGUACUUAAUGAAUAAGCCCCGGCUAAUUAUGUGCCAGCAGCCGCGGUAAUACAUAAGGGGCGAGCGUUAUCCGGAAUUAUUGGGCGUAAAGGGUGCGUAGGCGGUUUAAUAAGUCUAUAGUUUAAUUUCAGUGCUUAACGCUGUUGUGCUAUAGAAACUGUUUUACUAGAGUGAGUUAGAGGCAAGCGGAAUUCCAUGUGUAGCGGUAAAAUGCGUAAAUAUAUGGAGGAACACCAGAGGCGUAGGCGGCUUGCUGGGACUUUACUGACGCUGAGGCACGAAAGCGUGGGGAGCAAACAGGAUUAGAUACCCUGGUAGUCCACGCCGUAAACGAUGAGUACUAAGUGUCGGGUAAAACCGGUACUGAAGUUAACACAUUAAGUACUCCGCCUGAGUAGUACGUACGCAAGUAUGAAACUUAAAGGAAUUGACGGGACUCCGCACAAGCGGUGGAUCAUGUUGUUUAAUUCGAAGAUACACGAAAAACCUUACCAGGUCUUGACAUUUUCUUGCGAAGUUAUAGAAAUAUAAUGGAGGUUAUCAGGAAAACAGGUGGUGCAUGGUUGUCGUCAGCUCGUGUCGUGAGAUGUUAGGUUAAGUCCUAAAACGAGCGCAACCCUUGUCGUUAAUUGCCAGCAUGUAAUGAUGGGGACUUUAACGAGACUGCCAAUGAAAAAUUGGAGGAAGGUGGGGAUUACGUCAAAUCAUCAUGCCCCUUAUGAUCUGGGCUACAAACGUGAUACAAUGGUUGAUACAAAGAGUAGCUGAAACGCGAGUUCUUAGCCAAUCUCACAAAAUCAAUCUCAGUUCGGAUUGAAGUC
rnacentral:rRNA from 1 species